rnacentral:rRNA from 1 species
AACGAACGCUGGCGGCAUGCCUAACACAUGCAAGUCGAACGAGACCUUCGGGUCUAGUGGCGCACGGGUGCGUAACGCGUGGGAACCUGCCCUUAGGUUCGGAAUAACUCCCCGAAAGGGGUGCUAAUACCGGAUAAUGUCUUCGGACCAAAGAUUUAUCGCCUUUGGAUGGGCCCGCGUUGGAUUAGCUAGUUGGUAGGGUAAAAGCCUACCAAGGCGACGAUCCAUAGCUGGUCUGAGAGGAUGAUCAGCCACACUGGGACUGAGACACGGCCCAGAUUCCUACGGGAGGCAGCAGUGGGGAAUAUUGGACAAUGGGCGAAAGCCUGAUCCAGCAAUGCCGCGUGAGUGAUGAAGGCCUUAGGGUUGUAAAGCUCUUUUACCCGGGAUGAUAAUGACAGUACCGGGAGAAUAAGCGCCGGCUAACUCCGUG